CUUCCACUGUUGAAUACAAUCUUUUUGACAGAUGAGAUACUGUAUAGCAUUUAUUGGUCAGUCCUACAAACUUCGAAGUAAAUCAUGUUCUUGUGUCUAAUCUGGCUGGUCUUUAAAUGGCACAUUGCAUAUUCUGAGGAUCUGAUCACACCAUUCACGGAUGAAGUGCUGGCUUUUGAAGGAGAAAGAGUCAUUCUCUCCUGUAACUACUCCGGAGCAGCUACUAGCCUCCAGUGGUAUCUCCAGAAUCCCAGAUCAGCUCCACAGUUCUUCACCAUGGAGCACAUGGACAAUAAACCUGGAUUCUCUGUAAAACAUGAGAGAGAUAAGAAAUAUGUUCACCUGGAGAUCUCCUCUGCGAAAGUGACAGACUCUGCUCUGUACUACUGUGCUCUGGAGCCCACAGUGACAGGAAGCCCAGACACACUGUACAAAAACCCUGACAUAGUAAGGGGGGAGGGGCCUCACAUAUCUCACUCACAGUAACACUUAGAGGAAUGCCUGAGAGGAAAGACACAUGCAGCAGUCUCUGUGAA